UCCUGGUUAGCUCAGUUGGUAGAGUGCUCCAUUGGAAAUGGAGAUGCCUCUGUGUCCAUACCAGGAC
rnacentral:tRNA from 1 species